CCCUGACAAGGCUCGCCGCUUGGGCUACAAGGCCAAGCAGGUAACAAAGGAUUUUGUAAUUUGUGUCCUUUAGUUGUACAAAUGUUCAUACUACACUUGUUACUGGAUUAUUGUGCCUUUUUUAUUUUCCGCUAUUGUAAAGAGAGAAGCUUUUUGCGAAUUAUGUUUUGCUAAGCUCUUGCAAGUUUUGUCUUUUCAUUGCUGGACAAUGGGAAUCUGCUUUGGAAUAUAUAAUUCUUGCUGGUUAAGCGGUGUCUUGAUGUGUAUUCAUUUCUCCUUAGGAGGGUGUAUACGAAUGAUGAUAUGAUACUUCCUGAGACCAGCUAAAUUAAACAUGGUCGAUCAUCUGACCAAGUGGUUCUCUCUUUUGUGGAAUUCACUUUUGUCUCGAUUCGAUACAUUUAUGAUCUUGUUGGUGUUUUGAAUUAAUGAUAUCUUUAUCUUUUCAUUAUCACGUCUAACACGGACUUGAUAGCCUUCAAAGCUAUUCUUGUUAGUCUUGUCCUUUAGUCUGCAUGAUGCUAUGGUGAUUUGCACUUAUAAUGACAAAGUGAAUUCUUC
rnacentral:misc_RNA from 1 species